AUGAACGCUGGCGGCGUGCCUAAUACCUGCAAGUCGAGCGAACAGACGAGGAGCUUGCUCCUCUGACGUUAGCGGCGGACGGGUGAGUAACACGUGGAUAACCUACCUAUAAGACUGGGAUAACUUCGGGAAACCGGAGCUAAUACCGGAUAAUAUAUUGAACCGCAUGGUUCAAUAGUGAAAGACGGUUUUGCUGUCACUUAUAGAUGGAUCCGCGCCGCAUUAGCUAGUUGGUAAGGUAACGGCUUACCAAGGCAACGAUGCGUAGCCGACCUGAGAGGGUGAUCGGCCACACUGGAACUGAGACACGGUCCAGACUCCUACGGGAGGCAGCAGUAGGGAAUCUUCCGCAAUGGGCGAAAGCCUGACGGAGCAACGCCGCGUGAGUGAUGAAGGUCUUCGGAUCGUAAAACUCUGUUAUUAGGGAAGAACAAAUGUGUAAGUAACGAUGCACGUCUUGACGGUACCUAAGCAGAAAGCCACGGCUAACUACGU
rnacentral:rRNA from 1 species